GACGAACGCUGGCGGCGCGCCUAAUACAUGCAAGUUGAGCGCUGAAGGUUGGUACUUGUACCAACUGGAUGAGCAGCGAACGGGUGAGUAACGCGUGGGGAAUCUGCCUUUGAGCGGGGGACAACAUUUGGAAACGAAUGCUAAUACCGCAUAAAAACUUUAAACACAAGUUUUAAGUUUGAAAGAUGCAAUUGCAUCACUCAAAGAUGAUCCCGCGUUGUAUUAGCUAGUUGGUGAGGUAAAGGCUCACCAAGGCGAUGAUACAUAGCCGACCUGAGAGGGUGAUCGGCCACAUUGGGACUGAGACACGGCCCAAACUCCUACGGGAGGCAGCAGUAGGGAAUCUUCGGCAAUGGACGAAAGUCUGACCGAGCAACGCCGCGUGAGUGAAGAAGGUUGUCGGAUCGUAAAACUCGGUUGGUAGAGAAGAACGUUGGUGAGAGUGGAAAGCUCAUCAAGUGACGGUAACUACCCAGAAAGGGACGGCUAACUACGUG
rnacentral:rRNA from 1 species